AAUGUGAAGAAGAAUGUUGAGUAUAUGUUGGCUGCGUGCAGGAUUAAUUCAACAGCAGCCAUGUGUUGUCUCCUUCACGAAAAUGGCAUGGAUGAAGACGCCAUCAACGAGGCCAUUGAAGAAACCAGCGUUGGGAUUUAUGUUCUUAAAGAACAUGCUUCAAGUGAUGAACCAGGGGACAUUGGUAUUGUCCUUGAAGGCAUCAAGAUGUUGCAAGAUCUUUAUAAUGUAGCAUUACCUGUUGCUACGCUGUUUGGACUAAU